rnacentral:rRNA from 1 species
AGCAUAUCAAUAAGCGGAGGAAAAGAAACCAACAGGGAUUGCCUCAGUAACGGCGAGUGAAGCGGCAACAGCUCAAAUUUGAAAUCUGGCUCUUUCAGGGUCCGAGUUGUAAUUUGUAGAAGAUGCUUUGGGUGUGGCCCUGGUCUAAGUUCCUUGGAACAGGACGUCAUAGAGGGUGAGAAUCCCGUAUGUGACUGGGUGUCCACGCCCGUGUAAAGCUCUUUCGACGAGUCGAGUUGUUUGGGAAUGCAGCUCAAAAUGGGUGGUAAAUUUCAUCUAAAGCUAAAUAUUGGCCAGAGACCGAUAGCGCACAAGUAGAGUGAUCGAAAGAUGAAAAGCACUUUGGAAAGAGAGUUAAACAGUACGUGAAAUUGUUGAAAGGGAAGCGCUUGCAAUCAGACUUGCGCGCCGUUGAUCAUCCAGGGUUCUCUCUGGUGCACUCUGCGGCGCUCAGGCCAGCAUCGGUUCGGGUGGUGGGAUAAAGGCCUUGGGAAUGUAGCUCCUCUCGGGGAGUGUUAUAGCCCUCGGUGCAAUGCCGCCUACCUGGACCGAGGACCGCGCUUCGGCUAGGAUGCUGGCGUAAUGGUUGUAAGCGACCCGUCUUGAAACACGGACCAAGGAGUCUAACAUCUAUGCGAGUGUUUGGGUGUCAAACCCAUGCGCGUAAUGAAAGUGAACGUUGGUAUGAACCCUUAAGGGUGCAAUAUCGACCGAUCCUGAUGUCUUCGGACGGAUUUGAGUAUGAGCAUAGCUGUUGGGACCCGAAAGAUGGUGAACUAUGCCUGAAUAGGGUGAAGCCAGAGGAAACUCUGGUGGAGGCUCGCAGCGGUUCUGACGUGCAAAUCGAUCGUCAAAUUUGGGUAUAGGGGCGAAAGACUAAUCGAACCAUCUAGUAGCUGG